UACGUAGGGUGCAAGCAUUAAUCGGAAUUAUUGGGCGUAAAGGGCGCGUAGGCGGAUUGAUAAGUCAGAUGUGAAAUACCAAAGCUCAACUUUGGUGCUGCAUUUGAAACUGUCAGUCUAGAGGAUUGACGGAGAAAGCGGAAUUCCACGAGUAGCGGUGAAAUGCGUAGAUACGUGGAGGAACACCGGUGGCGAAAGCGGCUUUCUAGUUUAGACCUGACGCUGAGGCGCGAGAGCAAGGGGAG
rnacentral:rRNA from 1 species